GGAAAUGUAGCGAAGAUGGAAAACGCGGCGGUAUGCAAAACCGUCCCUUCGGGCUCGUAGGUUCGAUUCCUACCAUUUCCA
rnacentral:tRNA from 1 species